AGCAGCCGCGGUAAUUCCAGCUCCAAUAGCGUAUAUUAAAGUUGUUGCAGUUAAAAAGCUCGUAGUUGAAUUUCGGGAUCAAUUUGCUGGUCGUGCCUCUGGUACGUACUGGUAUUAUUGGUUUCUCCCUUCUGACGAACCAUGAUGUCAUUAAUUUGAUGUCGUGGAGAAUCAGGACUGUUACUUUGAAAAAUUAGAGUGUUUAAAGCAGGCAUUAGCUUGAAUACAUUAGCAUGGAAUAAUGAAAUAGGACGUUUGAUCCUAUUUUGUUGGUUUCUAGGAUUGACGUAAUGAUUAAUAGGGAUAGUUGGGGGCAUUAGUAUUCAAUUGUCAGAGGUGAAAUUCCUGGAUUUAUUGAAGACUAACUACUGCGAAAGCAUUUGCCAAGGAUGUUUUCAUUAAUCAAGAACGAAAGUUAGGGGAUCGAAGACGAUCAGAUACCGUCGUAGUCUUAACCAUAAACUAUGCCGACUAGGGAUCGGAUGAUGUUAAUUUUUAUGACUCAUUC
rnacentral:rRNA from 1 species